GAUGAACGCUGACAGAAUGCUUAACACAUGCAAGUCGAUGGGGAAGUGGUGCUUGCACCAUGGCAACCAUGGCGGACGGGUGAGUAACGCGUAAGGGACUUACCUGCAGGACUGGGAUAACAGGGGGAAACUCCUGACAAGACCGGAUAAUGUCAUGGAGCUGCAUGGCUUUAUGAUGAAAGGAGACGCCUGCGGAGAGCCUUGCGUCCUAUUAGCUAGUUGGUGAGGUAAUGGCUCACCAAGGCGAAGAUAGGUAGCCGGCCUGAGAGGGUGGACGGCCACAAGGGGACUGAGAUACGGCCCUUACUCCUACGGGAGGCAGCAGUGGGGAAUAUUGGACAAUGGGGGCAACCCUGAUCCAGCAAUUCUGUGUGCACGAAGAAGGUUUUCGGAUUGUAAAGUGCUUUCAGCGGGGAAGAAGUAAGUGACGGUACCUGCAGAAGAAGCGACGGCUAAAUACGUG
rnacentral:rRNA from 1 species